rnacentral:rRNA from 1 species
UUGCUUUCUUUGCUGGCGACCGGCGCACGGGUGAGUAACACGUAUCCAACCUGCCCUUUACUCGGGGAUAGCCUUUCGAAAGAAAGAUUAAUACCCGAUAGCAUAAUGAUUCCGCAUGGUUUCAUUAUUAAAGGAUUCCGGUAAAGGAUGGGGAUGCGUUCCAUUAGGUUGUUGGUGGGGUAACGGCCCACCAAGCCUUCGAUGGGUAGGGGUUCUGAGAGGAAGGUCCCCCACAUUGGAACUGAGACACGGUCCAA